GUGGGGAAUAUUGGGCAAUGGGGGCAACCCUGACCCAGCAACGCCGCGUGAGGGAAGAAGGUUUUCGGAUUGUAAACCUCUGUCCUAUGGGAAGAAGGAAGUGACGGUACCAUAGGAGGAAGCCCCGGCUAACUACGUGCCAGCAGCCGCGGUAAUACGUAGGGGGCGAGCGUUGUCCGGAAUUACUGGGCGUAAAGGGUGCGCAGGUGGCCUGACAAGUCAGAUGUGAAAUACCGAUGCUUAACGUCGGGGCUGCAUUUGAAACUAUGAGGCUGGAGUGCAGGAGAGGGAAGCGGAAUUCCUAGUGUAGCGGUGAAAUGCAUAGAUAUUAGGAGGAACACCAGUGGCGAAGGCGGCUUGCUGGACAGUAACUGACGUUGAGGCUCGAAAGCGUGGGGAGCAAACAGGAUUAGAUACCCCAGUAGUCC
rnacentral:rRNA from 1 species